rnacentral:rRNA from 1 species
UACGUAGGGUCCGAGCGUUGUCCGGAAUUAUUGGGCGUAAAGAGCUCGUAGGCGGUCUGUCGCGUCGGCUGUGAAAACACGGGGCUCAACUCCGUGCCUGCAGUCGAUACGGGCAGACUAGAGUUCGGUAGGGGAGACUGGAAUUCCUGGUGUAGCGGUGAAAUGCGCAGAUAUCAGGAAGAACACCCGUGGCUAAGGCGGCUCUCUGGGACGGUACUGACGCUCAUGCACGAAAGCGUGGGG